GCUAGCAGGUAUAUCACCCUGGAGCUCUCAACCUGGCUACCUACUGAAGUUAAGCAGGAUUGAGCCUGGUCAGUACCUGGAUGGGAGACCUCCUGGGAAGCUAUGGUUGCUACUGGAA
rnacentral:rRNA from 1 species